rnacentral:rRNA from 1 species
UACGUAGGGUGCGAGCGUUGUCCGGAAUUACUGGGCGUAAAGCGCACGUAGGCGGCUUUCUAAGUCGGGGGUGAAAUCCUGGAGCUCAACUCCAGAACUGCCUUUGAUACUGAAGAUCUUGAGUUCGGGAGAGGUGAGUGGAACUGCGAGUGUAGAGGUGAAAUUCGUAGAUAUUCGCAAGAACACCAGUGGCGAAGGCGGCUCACUGGCCCGAUACUGACGCUGAGGCACGAAAGCGUGGGGAGCAAACAGG